GAUGAACGCUGGCGGCGUGCCUAAUACAUGCAAGUCGAGCGAACAGACGAGGAGCUUGCUCCUCUGACGUUAGCGGCGGACGGGUGAGUAACACGUGGAUAACCUACCUAUAAGACUGGGAUAACUUCGGGAAACCGGAGCUAAUACCGGAUAAUAUAUUGAACCGCAUGGUUCAAUAGUGAAAGACGGUUUUGCUGUCACUUAUAGAUGGAUCCGCGCCGCAUUAGCUAGUUGGUAAGGUAACGGCUUACCAAGGCAACGAUGCGUAGCCGAACUGAGAGGGUGAUCGGCCACACUGGAACUGAGACACGGUCCAGACUCCUACGGGAGGCAGCAGUAGGGAAUCUUCCGCAAUGGGCGAAAGCCUGACGGAGCAACGCCGCGUGAGUGAUGAAGGUCUUCGGAUCGUAAAACUCUGUUAUUAGGGAAGAACAAAUGUGUAAGUAAAUAUGCACGUCUUGACGGUACCUAAUCAGAAAGCCACGGCUAACUACGUG
rnacentral:rRNA from 1 species